rnacentral:rRNA from 1 species
UUCUGGCUCAGGAUGAACGCUAGCGGCAGGCUAACACAUGCAAGUCGAGGGGCAGCGGGAUGUAGCAAUACAUUGCCGGCGACCGGCGGAUGGGUGCGUAACGCGUAUGCAACCUACCUUAUACAGGGGAAUAACCUUUCGAAAGGGAGACUAACACCCCAUAGUAUUGAUUUAAGGCAUCUUAGAUUAAUUAAAUAUUUAUAGGUAUAAGAUGGGCAUGCGUAUGAUUAGCUAGUUGGUAAGGUAACGGCUUACCAAGGCGACGAUCAUUAGGGGUUCUGAGAGGAAGGUCCCCCACACUGGUACUGAGACACGGACCAGACUCCUACGGGGGGCAGCAGUGAGGAAUAUUGGUCAAUGGGCGCAAGCCUGAACCAGCCAUGCCGCGUGCAGGAAAAGACGGCCUUAUGGGUUGUAAACUGCUUUUACAUAAGACUAACCGUAUAUUUGCGAAUAUACCUGAAUGUAUUAUGAGAAUAAGGAUCGGCUAACUCCGUGCCAGCCGCUGC